UAGAAUUCCACGUGUAGCGGUGAAAUGCGUAGAGAUGUGGAGGAAUACCGGUGGCGAAGGCGGCCUUCUGGACAGAUACUGACGCUGAGAUGCGAAAGCGUGGGGAGCAAACAGGAUUAGAUACCCUGGUAGUCCACGCUGUAAACGAUGUCGAUUUGGAGUUUGUUGCCUAGAGUGAUGGGCUCCGAAGCUAACGCGAUAAAUCGACCGCCUGGGGAGUACGGCCGCAAGGUUAAAACUCAAAUGAAUUGACGGGGGCCCGCACAAGCGGUGGAGCAUGUGGUUUAAUUCGAUGCAACGCGAAGAACCUUACCUGGUCUUGACAUCCACAGAAUCUUGCAGAGAUGCGAGAGUGCCUUCGGGAACUGUGAGACAGGUGCUGCAUGGCUGUCGUCAGCUCGUGUUGUGAAAUGUUGGGUUAAGUCCCGCAACGAGCGCAACCCUUAUCCUUUGUUGCCAGCGAUUCGGUCGGGAACUCAAAGGAGACUGCCGUUGAUAAAGCGGAGGAAGGUGGGGACGACGUCAAGUCAUCAUGGCCCUUACGACCAGGGCUACACACGUGCUACAAUGGCGUAUAUAAAGGGAGGCGACCUCGCGAGAGCAAGCGGACCUCAUAAAGUACGUCUAAGUCCGGAUUGGAGUCUGCAACUCGACUCCAUGAAGUCGGAAUCGCUAGUAAUCGUGAAUCAGAAUGU
rnacentral:rRNA from 1 species